CACGGAGCGGAGAGUCGACGAGCCCGACGCAGGAGACUUUACACAAGAAUCGGUGGGAUUAAACGCCUGUGUCUGGUUACAAAGCUGCGGGAAUGUGGACCGGAGUUACUGCGAUGAACUAGCGUCGAAAGAAGAGACUCGUCUCCUGGAGAGAGCGAAGGAAGCGGGAGGAAAGAGAGGUCAGUGGUUGUGAUGUUGCUUCCUCUGCUUCAAGACUACAUUUCCCAUGGAGCCGUGCGCCGAAACACACACUAUUCUACCAUGGAGCCACCAGUCAGGGUUUUGGACCCUCAGAGCUAGUGACACAGAAGAGGACCAGAUAUUGUGAUAUCACCUCCAAAACCACAACUCCAUCUCCCUCCGGUCCUCCAGCUGACCCUCCUUCUCUCUGAGAUCAGGACCGGCUCCCUG